rnacentral:rRNA from 1 species
UAAGGAAUAUUGGACAAUGGAGGCAACUCUGAUCCAGCCAUGCCGCGUGAAGGAAUAAGGCCCUAUGGGUUGUAAACUUCUUUUAGACGGGACAAAACCCCUUUACGUGUAAAGGGUUGAUGGUACUGUCAGAAUAAGCAUCGGCUAACUUCGUGCCAGCAGCCGCGGUAAUACGAAGGAUGGAAGCGUUAUCCGGAAUUAUUGGGUUUAAAGGGUGCGUAGGCGGACUAAUAAGUCAGUGGUGAAAGCCUGCAGCUUAACUGCAGAAUUGCCAUUGAUACUGUUAGUCUUGAGUACAGUUGAGGUAGGCGGAAUGUGUCAUGUAGCGGUGAAAUGCUUAGAUAUGACACAGAACACCGAUUGCGAAGGCAGCUUGCUAAGCUGUAACUGACGCUGAGGCACGAAAGCGUGGGGAGCAAACA